UGCGCAGGCGGUUUUGUAAGACAGGUGUGAAAUCCCCGGGCUUAGCCUGGGAACUGCAUUUGUGACUGCAAGGCUAGAGUGUGGCAGAGGGGGGUAGAAUUCCACGUGUAGCAGUGAAAUGCGUAGAGAUGUGGAGGAAUACCGAUGGCGAAGGCAGCCCCCUGGGUCAACACUGACGCUCAUGCACGAAAGCGUGGGGAGCAAACAGGAUUAGAUACCCUGGUAGUCCACGCCCUAAACGAUGUCAACUAGGUGUUGGGGGAGGAGACUUCCUUAGUACCGCAGCUAACGCGUGAAGUUGACCGCCGUGGGGGGUACGCCGCAAGGUUGAA
rnacentral:rRNA from 1 species